rnacentral:rRNA from 1 species
AUUGAACGCUGGCGGCAUGCUUUACACAUGCAAGUCGAACGGCAGCGCGGGGCAACCUGGCGGCGAGUGGCGAACGGGUGAGUAAUACAUCGGAACGUACCCAGAAGUGGGGGAUAACGUAGCGAAAGUUACGCUAAUACCGCAUACGUUCUACGGAAGAAAGUGGGGGACCUUCGGGCCUCAUGCUUUUGGAGCGGCCGAUGUCUGAUUAGCUAGUUGGUGAGGUAAAGGCUCACCAAGGCGACGAUCAGUAGCUGGUCUGAGAGGACGACCAGCCACACUGGGACUGAGACACGGCCCAGACUCCUACGGGAGGCAGCAGUGGGGAAUUUUGGACAAUGGGCGCAAGCCUGAUCCAGCAAUGCCGCGUGAGUGAAGAAGGCCUUCGGGUUGUAAAGCUCUUUUGUCAGGGAAGAAACGGCUGAGGAUAAUACCUUCGGCUAAUGACUGUACCUGAAGAAUAAGCACCGGCUAACUACGUG